GACGAACGCUGGCGGCGUGCCUAAUACAUGCAAGUAGAACGCUUAAGGAGGAGCUUGCUCUUCUUGAUGAGUUGCGAACGGGUGAGUAACGCGUAGGUAACCUGCCUGGUAGCGGGUGAUAACUAUUGGAAACGAUAGCUACUACCUCAUAACAGUAGAUGUUGCAUGACAUUUACUUAAAAGGUGCAAUUGCAUCACUACCAGAUGGACCUGCGUUGUAUUAGCUAGUUGGUGGGGUAACGGCUCACCAAGGCGACGAUGCAUAGCCGACCUUAUAUGGUGGACGGGCACACUGGGAAUGGGACACGGCCCAGGAUCCUACGGGGAGCAGGAGUAGGGGAACUUCGGAAAAAGACGGAAGUCUUGACGAAGAAAGGCGCGUGAGUGGAGAAAGUUUUUGGAACGUAAAACUCUGUUGUAAGAGGAGAAAGAGUGGGAGAGUGAAAAGUUCACACUGUGACGGUACCUUAACAGAAAGGGACGGCUAACUACGUG
rnacentral:rRNA from 1 species